GCCCAAAAGGGAAAUGACGCCGGCGCAGAAAAUGGCGUCCGCAAAGCCUGUGGACCGCUGUGGCUCGCUACCCAUUUAAUUUAGAGCCGUGUGUGGGGGGUGUCCGCGUCGGGCAGAUGGACGGUAAUAACAACAUGGCAGUCCACCGCUGCCAGCCGCUUUCCUGAUCCCGGAGUCGAACCCGCAACUUCAUGUCUGAAGGAGCCAGAGCUGCCUGGUCGAAGAGGGGUUGUGGGGAUUCGCACCGCCGAGAACCUGGGAAACACAAGCACAGGAAAUGCGAGCGGCCCCUUAGUGCUCAGCCGUCAAAGCCUGUGAUUGUUCGCCCGGGCUCCAAAAGGUGAUUGACGCUCAGAAAAAGGGACUUUGUUAGCAUCUACUGGACACAAGGGGCACUGUCCUCUGAUUGGCUCGGACAAC
ensembl:lncRNA